GUCUCGGAUAGAUCCAAAAACUCCUAGUGAGUAGUGUCCUUGUCAUACGUAUACUAAUGUUAAAGUAGUGAGUAAACUAGACGUUUCCUCCAUCUUCCUCUUGGCUGCGUUCUCCAUAAGCUACACCUACACCUAUUUUGCGAAAGAAACACCUCUCUGUUAAUGGCGGACUGGGGGCCAGUGCUCAUCGGAGUAGUACUCUUCAUCCUGCUGCAACCUGGGCUUCUGUUUCAGAUACCGGGUAACAACCGCACUCUCGAAUUUGGGAGCAUGAAGACUAAUGGAAAGGCGAUUGCUGUUCAUACUCUUAUUUUCUUUACACUCUAUGCUAUUCUCAUUCUCGCUGUUCAUGUUCACAUCUAUACUGGAUGAUCCUGUAACACUACUACAGAUCUGCUACUACCAUUUUCACUAAUCCAAGUUAUAUAAUGGAAAUGUGAGUGGUUUUGCUUAGUGAAGAAGGAGAAGGGGAUAUACUAAACUUGAGGGUUAAAAGCAGGCAUUUGUGUUUUAAAGGGGAAGAAAGGUAUUAAUUGUGUAAGUGGGAUUUUUUGCUUUAUGGAAGUAGACAGAAAACACCAACUUUGUGUUUAAGUUUCCGAUUAUUGAAGAACGCGCAAGCUUUUCUUUUGCCUUUGCUUUUCACAUAAAAUUCAUCAAGGUGGGAGAAACUUUCAAAAAGAUUUGGAAAAAGUAAGGUGGUGCUGGUGCACGUGGAAAGCAGAGAAAAUGCCAAAACUUUGUGCGUUUACAUUAAUGCAAAAUGCUUUAAUUUGGCUUAAAGGAUGAUGUCCGAUUACAUUGCAGUUUAUACUUCAGCUCCUAACUUAGGAAUGUUUAAUUUGUAUUUUGAUCCAUGACAGAUGAAAAGAGCUGCCCACUGUGGAUUUGCCUU